rnacentral:lncRNA from 1 species
UUUUAAGGAGGGAUUUUUUUUCCUGACAAGCAUGUUAGCGAGCAAGAUGCAAGUUAUGAGGCAUAGAGAUAGAUAUAAAAAAGAUUAACUGCAUGGUAAAAUAAAAGUACCGCUGAGUGUUAGAGAUGAGGUAUAUCAGCAAAUACAUCAAACACGAGACUCAACAUACCAGGUCUUCAGAGGCCAGGAAACAAACAGCUUGCAGGCAGAAAGUUAAUUAAUUGGGGUCGGGCGAAGUAAUUCAAAAAUAGAGGAACCAGUGAAGCGGCACUGGAUUUGGGGAACCGGCAGGGGCAAUUAUGGAACGGCAGAACGCGUACCAGCACUACAGAAAAAAGGGAAAAUGCCAACGCAUAUACGCCGACGCUUCUUAAAAGCGUCGGUAAUUUUGGUCGAGCGCCAAAAUUUGCCGACGCUUCUUAACGCUACAUGUGAGAUGGGGGGAUUAGACGAUGCUUAAAAGCAUCGUCCAAGUCCCACGACACUUCCCAUUUCACCCA